GAUGAACGCUGCGGCGUGCCUAAUACAUGCAAGUCGAGCGAACAGAUGAGGAGCUUGCUCCUCUGACGUUAGCGGCGGACGGGUGAGUAACACGUGGAUAACCUACCUAUAAGACUGGGAUAACUUCGGGAAACCGGAGCUAAUACCGGAUAAUAUAUUGAACCGCAUGGUUCAAUAGUGAAAGACGGUUUUGCUGUCACUUAUAGAUGGAUCCGCGCCGCAUUAGCUAGUUGGUAAGGUAACGGCUUACCAAGGCAACGAUGCGUAGCCGACCUGAGAGGGUGAUCGGCCACACUGGAACUGAGACACGGUCCAGACUCCUACGGGAGGCAGCAGUAGGGAAUCUUCCGCAAAGGGCGAAAGCCUGACGGAGCAACGCCGCGUGAGUGAUGAAGGUCUUCGGAUCGUAAAACUCUGUUAUUAGGGAAGAACAAAUGUGUAAGUAACUAUGCACGUCUUGACGGUACCUAAUCAGAAAGCCACGGCUAACUACGUG
rnacentral:rRNA from 1 species